rnacentral:misc_RNA from 1 species
GAUGAAGAACGUAGCGAAAUGCGAUACUUGGUGUGAAUUGCAGAAUCCCGUGAACCAUCGAGUCUUUGAACGCAAGUUGCGCCCGAAGCCAUUAGGCCGAGGGCACGCCUGCCUGGGCGUCACACGUCGUUGCCCCCCCAUCUACUCCUUCGGGAUUGCGGGGGGCGGAUGAUGGCCUCCCGUGCGCCUCGCCGCGCGGUUGGCAUAAAUGCCAAGUCCUCGGCGACGCACGCCACGACAAUCGGUGGUUGCGAAACCUCGGUUGCACGUCGUGUGCGGUCGUCGCGCAUCGAGGGCUCGAAAAAAUUGCCGGGUUCCGGCUCGGCUUUCAACGCGACCCCAGGUCAGGCGGGGUUACCCGCUGAAUUUAAGCAUAUCAAUAAGCGGAGGA